GAUCAUUCAGCUUAUAUUUAUUCGACACAACAUAUCUUCUCAUAAACAUACACAUAAACAUACACAUUAAACACUUAGACGUCAGAAUAAACAUUAAAUAGUUUACAACGAGUUUGUUAUUAUUGUUUUCUAUCAUGAAUACUUUCGCUUAUUAUUAAUUCGUACGAUCCAUCAAUAAUAUAUCUCGAGACUAUUUUUAUUCUGUUAUCCUCUUAACGCUUAUAUAGAAGUCGUUUGGUUGUAAUAGCGUCACAAAGCAUCAACAAUUCGAAUACAACGUUACAGCGAAAUUCGAUUGGCGAUUUUUGGGGCCGGCGUUAGUAUUAUUUUAUAAUAUGUAAAAAUAUAUAAACAAAUGCGGUCCCCCCUCCCUUUCUCUCUCCUUUUUUGGUUUGUUAAUUCAGUUGUCUUUGUCCAAAAAGAGGAUUAGUCAUACACGAGUAUCUCUUUCCUGAUUUCAACCGCAUAAUCAUAAUACUUAAACGUAAGAAAUACUCUCUAUAAGACGAGACUCGUCAUUAAAUCUCUUUUUUUAUCUUGAUUAUUACACAGGCAUGAGAAAAUCGGACCCAUACACCAGCUUGUUAGAUAUCUACAAUAUAACGAUACGACGUUAAAUAUAAUAGGUACCUUAUAGACUGUGACUUUACGAUAAAUGCGAGAGGCUGCUGCCCAACUUAUAAUAUAACGAUAAUACAUAGACAAGCGUCGUCCAACACCUUCCUAACAAAGAAAUUUGUCGUUAUAUAAUCGAGAUUCAAACCGGUGCGAACCUAUCGAUUUCAUUAUUUAACAAUAUAUCAUUAUCGUCGAUCGAUAUUCGUCAAAUAUUUGUCGUUUGCCAUUCCUAACGAAACAACGAUCGAUCGGUCCUUCGUAUCGAAUGCGGGGAAGGUUUUGCACUUUUUCAUUGCUUAUUGUCUGUUCACAAUAGCAGCCACCACCGUUCGCUAAUUCGCUUUUUUUUUUUUUAACACCCAAUACGGAAGCAUCGUUGUGGACGAUGGCAAUCGAAUAACGCACGACGAUACUUGCAACUUGAUUUGACAUACGUGUCUUUAUGCAAUUUUACUCUCUUGGCCAUUCGCGUAUAUACGCGUAUAUACCUUGAAAAAAAAAUAUGUUAAUUAAAUGAAAGAGAUCAAUAGAAAGAGUUAAUUCAAAAAUUACAAAAUUUCAUAUUUUUAAGAUUCAAAAUCUGUUUAAGAUGAUUAAAAUUAAAAAUAGAUGAAUAAAUAGAAUUUUUUUUCUCGUCUUUUCAAUACUUUAAUUAUCAUUUUGUAUGUCUAUACUUCACAAACAGUCAAAUAUAAUUUUUCUAAUUUAUUUUUGGAAAAUAAACUAUUAGCAUUAUAAUUAAGUGUGCAAUGUUAUGAAAUAAAAAGAAAUUGAUUAUAGCGUAUGUAUGUUUACUUAUUAUCAUAGAAUCAUUUAAUUAUCUAAUUCAGAGAAAUAUAUAAAAGAAAAAAUUGUCUGUAUUCAUUUAGUGGAAUUGAAAAGUUAAAAUUAAAAGUGCAAAAUAAAUCCAAUCAAUAUUUUUUAAUUCAACUUUUUUUGUAAAAUAUAUUCGCAUGGCAGAAUUGACAGCCGUGAUUAUGAAUUUUACUGUGCUUUUCACGAUGGCAAAGUAGCAUCCAAUUAUAGUCACAAGUCGUUUGUCAGGUAACAGUUAUGUGUACGACUGGUAUCGUAUAUACGUUAUUUUGCAUUUGCCGGAAGCACGUGUUGCGUGAAAUCGCAGUCGAUUCACGCGGCACGCGCUUUACAGAUUUUUUUCUCCUUACGAUUUGCUUCGAUUAACACAGUCACAUUGAUUGCAUCUGCAAUUCGUACAAUAGGUCUCGGCCGCCGCCGGCCGAGUCGAUAUGGUUUGAAUAGUUACAUGAGAGAUUUACACAAAUAAUCUGCCUCCGAUAAGAAACAACUAUACACAGUCUACUUUUUUUCGGCGUAUAAUAAUUCAAAAAUGCUGUUUCUUUCUGAAUCGAUUCUUCAUAUUAUUAAAAUAUUAUAAUUCGUAUUAAUCUCUUCCGUUCGAAUUAGAGAUCUGUUGCAAUAUUACUUAGAAUAAUAUAAUAGCGAUAGUGUUUUCAACAACAAUUUUUGAUUGGCAAUUAUUCUCGAUAAUCGAGAAGUUAUGAAACGACAUAUUAAGUUGCCUGAAAAGAUUCGUCGCGUGCAAUUUUUUUUUGUUUAGCUAUGUUUUCAAUACACAAUUAUUGAUUAAUGAAAAAUUUAUUAUAAGUCAAUUUGUACGCUAAUUUAUUUCUUUAUCGAAAAUCAUACCAUUUAUUUAAUGCAAUUAUUUUUUUUACCUUAGAUUGAACUCUGGUAAGCGUGUACGAUUAUCGAAUUCCAACGCAAGAGAUUAAGGCUAGUACGACCACAACCGUAUAGUAUCCCAGUUGAGGCAUCAUCGAGCUAUCCACCAUGCCGAUUGCGAAUCCCAGACCUGCAUUUGGUAUGAUCAGAUGAUCGAUACUUCUCGCCAACGGAAUCUAGAAACGGAAAUUGAUUAAUCCAUGACGUAAGAUCAGGGUUGAUAUGGAUAGAUAGGAAGAUAAAUUAUUACCAGAAACGCUGGAACAUGAUGAACCGAUGCCCUGAAGAGCUCGCGCUAAGAAAAGUAUGCCGUAGCUCCGCCCGAAAGCAAAAAUUAACGUGGAUAGAAACAUGAUAAUAAAUCCGGUGAACAUAGCUUAUUAUCACUGGCAAAACGUCAAAUUGCAGAUUAAAUGAAGAAAAUCGAGUUCGUAAUCGGCUCAAUAAAGGAACCCAAUUUAUUGUCUACGAAUCUGCUUAUGCCGAGCGUCGAAAAGACAUAUUUUCCGUAAAAUGACGGAGUCGGAGAAACAACAGGCUUCGGGAAAACGACUCUUGCUCCCAGCAAUACGCGCGAAAAAACCGUACCUUCUGCCUUCACCCUUCGCCAACCCUCUCGAUCCGACUGCACUUUGACGCGAACUCACCGAGAAAGAUCAGUGCGAGAGACUGCAGAUGACACGUGGAAAUGAGGGCAUUUGUUCUAUGGCCGCGGAUCACGAUCAGGAAAUCCGGUAUUACGUGACUAAGGGAUAGCAGAAGUGUUCCGGACACCUCGGUGACGUGUUAACGAGUCUGAAGAUUCCGCAAACGAAUCUGGCAGGUACUCACCGGCGUCGAUCGGUUCUGCCGUGGAGCGAGCGUUCUCCGAUCCAGUAUCGCCGCUAUCGUUGCUAGCCGUCGAGGUCGCGGCCCGGCUGACGAGGAGUGUUGGGGCACCCCGAUGAUAAUUGUACGGACGAUUGAGAGCGAUAAGGGCGCAUCUCACCUCGUUCGUGCCGGCCCGGAGCCGUCGCUCUCUCUGCCUACCACCGUCUGUGUCUCCCGUGCUUCUUCGAUGUCCUCUUCUUGAUCCGUGAAAAGAUCCAGAAGCCCCCAGCCGCCGACAGGGCGCAUGGUCACUGGGUUCCGCGCUUUUCACCCCUUCGCACUUCGCGUCCCUCUCUCUCUUCCUUUCCUCUCCCACCAUCUGCGUUCUAUACAUCUCUCUCUCUCUCUCUUUCAUACACACACACACACGCACACGCACACGCACGCACGCACGCACACACACACACAUGCGCGUACAAUACAAAGAGCAUAUCACACGCCCAUUCACACCCAACCCGACAUGCAUAACACUUUCUUUUUAUGCGACUUUCUUUCCUUCUUUUUACUCUUUUUUUUCUCUAUCCAAAAUAAUAAUUAAAUUUAUGUUAUCUAUCUUGUGCUCGUUGUUUUUCAUGUUUUCAUUGUUCCUCACUCCAAUCAGUGAGUUCCUCUUUUUUGCACGGCCCAUUUCAACAUUAUUCUAGUCAUUCGUCUCCCUCCAUCGAGGCGACUGUCGACGCCCCCCGAGGCGCUAUUGUCUCUAUAUCAUUUACUCUCCACCUCUUUUUAAAUCUGUCAGAUUUUCAAUGGAAUUGACACUACCUAUAUGCAGCUUUUUAUUUUUUUUCUUUCAUAUCAAUAUGGAUCAUAGAGCCGAUUUUAUAGUGUUACUUCAUCAUCAAAAUGAUUUACAAUGCUACAUGAAAAUAAUUUUUAAAAUAACUUGCUUUCGUUCUUUUUAGCUGUGUCAAAUUAUAAUGAAUUGAGAUCGCUUGAAAAACGUUUCAAAAGAGAUGAAAGCUUAGUAGUUUAUUUAAUUUCAGAUCUAAUUUAUUCUCAAACUUUAAUUUUUUUUAGUACAAUGCGAAUCAAAAUCGUUUUAAAAACUUAUAAAAAAAAGAAUGGACGCGCUUUAUAAUUUUAGCCUUAAUAUGCGAAUGUAAUCAAGAUUGUCCCCUCGAUUUUAACCGUCUAGGAAUUGCACGAACCAUGCGGAAUUUAUUUCGAGGUUACAAAGGAAUGCAAAGAUCGCGAAGAAUUCUCUAUAUGAGUCUUCAACGCCUCUUCAUUGUCGGCUCUUUAUUAAAACGACUAUUAUCACGCAUUCCAGAAACAAAAAUAGCGCCGAUAUGAUCCAUCGUUAUUGUGUCGCGUCGCGUAUAUUAUCGUGUAUUAGCCAAAUAAAGCUUUCAGUGAUCUCAAUUAACAUAAACGAAUGUCCUUCCCGCGCGAGUGUUGCGAUUGUUAAGGCAGGCAAAUAAAGUCAAUUUUCCCUUCGCGUAAGAAGGGGUUCUCCGGAAAGUCGUUCGCGUUGUCAGUUUGCCACCUGUGGAGUCGAACGAGAAAGCAAUAUAGAAAUUCCAGGCAGGAAGCGGGUUCACUUGUUGAUUUUAGGAAACUUCGAGGAAAACACGAGGUGCAACUUGUUGCUAAAGGAAGUGUAAUCGGUUUUAGCCCUGCGGUUUUAUACACGAACAGAUGUAUGAUUAACAGCAAGAUGAGGGAAUCUAGAGAUACUUUUGAGAUUAUUAAACGAGAGCAUAUCCAAGAGAAAGUGAAUUUAAAAUUGCCUAAGGACUUCAUUAUUACAAUCUACACAAUUUCACAAUCAAUGGUGACGAGGAGCAAACGACGAUGUUCCUUACUCGUAACUUUCUUUUAUCACUAUAUUCGGUCGAUGAUAAAAGUUGCGUAGCAUCGUUAUAAAUUCUUUGGACAAAAACAAACCAGGCACGGUAAAAUGCACGAGCGUCAUCGCGCACAAUAGGUGCCAAAUAAUGCAUUGUACGGAAAUUGAGGAGCUACGAAAGACUUGUCUCCUCGAGAUAGGAAGGGACGAAGCUGAGAAAACGCGUAAUUGAAUGAUGCGCAACUCGGCUGCUCGAUGAAUAGAAUUCAAUGAGUCAACACUACCUGCAAAUACACGGGGACGUCGCGAGUUACGAUCUGGACUCGGUGUGUCUUCGGCCCCGAAGAUCUUCGCCAUGAAGACAGUCGACGCGUCUUGUCGCGAAUUUAAUUCCCGCGACGUGACAGCGACUGAUCGGGUGGUUUCAUCCGCUCGACUAUAUUUCGUUUGUCGUCCAUUUUAAGAAAAUCCUAAUCUCGUUCAUCGAAUCCUGUCAUGCGUUGUCAGAUGUGUCUUGUAGAAAGGAAAUAGGCGUAAAAGAAAAUUUUUGAAUUUAAUUACGUAUUCCAGGAACAUCGUCGUUGCACUCCUCGAGAUACUCUCACGUAGAAAUCAUAAUUUUAUCGGAAAGGGGCAGGGGCUCCCGCUUAGUUCGCUUCGGCCACACUGCGAUUUUUUCGAGACAGUUUGCCUAAUCGAGCGACGUUGCUCGUGGCAACUGGCGAUCGAUUUUGAGAUGCAAAGGUUGGCAAGGACAACGGUACGAUAUAUCCAGCAGUCAACUGCGCUGGUUUCUGAGCUCUCAUCAUGAUAAUAUUUAGAGAUCUUUUUAGCUGGUACGGAAAGCGAUACCACGAGGUAAAAACUACCGGAAAUCAUAAUCAUAAUCAGAUCAUUGAAGCAAAAUUCAUUUACGAAAUUGUAAGAAAAAAUGAUUGAUAAUAUGUAAAAAAGAAGAUAAUUUGAAUUUGCUUACCCCCGCUAAUUUAAAUCCUACAAGGGAAAUGUUGUACGUACUACCGAGAAGCUGCGUUAAAAAGAUGCCAUUGCAAAAUUAUCUGCCUUCUCUCUUUUACAUACUCGAGUACCGUUUGGUGAUAAUGUGCACAGGCUUCAAGAUCAGAUUUCACACAAUUUCUCGAUAUAUCGUGGGUUAUCU